rnacentral:lncRNA from 12 species
CUCAGCUCCUGCCAGGUGCCACUUAGGCCCUUCUGUGUGUCACACUUUUAUUGCCACUUGUUUGGCUUCAUUUCGUAGCCAUUCAGGGGCCUAACCUGCUGCAUAUGGCAGAGCAACACAAACACAAAUUAUAAAGGAUUUUUGUUCUCCCUACCUGACAAAUAUUUGAGCUCCAGAAGCCUCUCCACACUUUAAAUCACUCCAUCUUAAAAAUGUAUUAUCAAGGCUCCAGGUUUGAUGGAGAAGCUCUGCCAAGGUGAGGGAUAACUCCAGCCAGCCCAGGGUUACCAACAGAGGUCCUUGUCUAAGUACAUAUUUCUUUUGGAAAACUGCUCGAGAACCAGAAAAAAAAACAAAAACAAAAAAAAAGGACACCACCCCUGGCAGAUCCUUUCUGAAGCAGGACAGAAAUCCAGCCACCAAGUGCCACCACCCUUUGUUUCCACAUCCUACUGCCACAGCUCAAAUUCUCCUGAGCUUCAAACAACCUCAGGUGGGCAGAAUCAAUAAAAUCAAACAUUUGCAGCCACCAGGGCUGAUGAGCAC